UCUUGGUCAUUAGAGGAAGUAAAAGUGGUAACAAGGUUUCCGUAGGUGAACCUGCGGAAGGAUCAUUAUUGAAAUAAACCUGAUGGGUUGUUGCUGGUUCUCUAGGGAGCAUGUGCACACCUUGUCAUCUUUAUAUCUCCACCUGUGCACUUUUUGUAGACCUUUCGGGUCUAUGUUGCUUCAUUUACCCCAAUGUAUGUUAAUAGAAUGUUGUGCCUAUAUAAUAUAUACAACUUUCAGCAACGGAUCUCUUGGCUCUCGCAUCGAUGAAGAACGCAGCGAAAUGCGAUAAGUAAUGUGAAUUGCAGAAUUCAGUGAAUCAUCGAAUCUUUGAACGCACCUUGCGCUCCUUGGUAUUCCGAGGAGCAUGCCUGUUUGAGUGUCAUUAAUAUAUCAACCUUCUCUUUUUUGAGUUGUUUGGAUGUGGGGGUUUGCUGGCCUCUUAAAUGAUUCAGCUCCCCUGAAAUGCAUUAGCAGAACAACCUGUUCAUUGGCGUGAUAAUUAUCUAUGCUAUUGAAUGUGAGGGGCAGUUCAGCUUUCUAACCGUCCUCGGACAAUUCAUCAUUAAUGUGACCUCAAAUCAGGUAGGACUACCCGCUGAACUUAAGCAUAUCAAUAAGCGGAGGA
rnacentral:rRNA from 1 species